GAUUGCAGUGUAUUAAGUAGUGAGUCUUGUGUGCUUUUGCAGCUUUGCUUUGUUUUCAAGUCUGAACAGGUACUUAUUGCUUUUCUACCUCUAAACGUUAGCCAAAUUUUUCAGUGAUGUAUAGUCUACUGUAGGAGGCACCAAUGGCCUGUGCAAGUGAAUGUUCGCUGGAAGCUUCGGUGCUAAGCCUCUCAUUUACUCUUUUUACCUUCCUUUGUAGUACUGCACAACAAAAAUAAUCAGAAAAGUGCUGAGACAGCAAAAAAAUAGCUAGUAUUUUCAGUAAAUCUCUGACUUCAGACGUUUUCCCCCCAGUCCUGUAAGCUAGCCAAAGCCCUGCCCCUCUACAUAUCUGCUGAACAAACACAUUUUUUAAACUAUAGCCCAAUAUCGCUUACCUCCAGUUCUGGUAAACUACUGGAGCAUAUCAUACACAAGCAUAUAAUAGAAUACCCUGAAUCCAAGCUAGGAGGCUGUACAGAGGAAGGCGUGGGGCGAGAAAGAAUGCGAUAAAGGUUAAUAGUACAGUGGUGACGGCAGCCGGUGAGACGCAAAGGUACUAUCUCGCAUAAUAUAGGUGCACUGAUGUCUUCUGGCUGCAGAAACAUGAAUGGUAGCAGUGCUCUAUUGCGGUCAUCUUCUUUCAUUGCAGGUGUGUACAGGGAGUAAACUGAAGUGAAUGCAUGCUGUAGAAAUAAGCACUGCACAUUAACAUCAUUUUGAGGCCACCAUCAUCACAGUAACAAGAAAAAUUACGUCAUAAAGAGACGAGGAAACACACUAGCUUCAAAUCAUCCCGAAGUAGGUGACACUAUACUCUGUUUUAUACAUAGUAGGCACUGCUGUGAAAGCUAGAGAGACUUCUCUUGCUACUUGUAUUGAUGACCCAAAAAUUUUUUGUCACAUAUGAAAGUAAAAUAUAGGUACACAUAAUGCAAUUCGAUGGAAAAUUAGGUCUUGUACUUUUUUGUCGCAAAAUAUGAUGAUUUAUUGCAUAGAAGGCAUCGGAGAUCUGAUCCUGUCUAACACCAAACGAUUGGAGCGACAUGUUUCUGUGACCAGCAGCCACAGUGCAUUACUUGCGCUCGCGACCAAAACAAAGUAUGUCGCAUACUGGCAGCACCAAGGUACACAAAUAAUACGUCAUUUCACAUAAACAUGAGUCCGCAAGCCCUAGUUGCAAUAUAUGAUGUACACAUAUUACGUAGAAAGUUUCGCAGAGGAUAAACAACUGCACUGCGGAAUGUGUGGAUGUGACUUCUAUGACCACACUACUUGCGUAGCUUCCGCACCAUUGCCUGCUACGUAUGAAACAGAGUAUAGUGUUUCUGUGUGGUGUUGUGCUCAAGCAGGUUGGACAUAGCCACGUGGAAUAAAAGUUGAGGAGGAAUGCCGUAACUAAAAGGAAGGCAAUUUUUAACCACUUGUAGCUUUAAUAUAUAGUGUGCCAAUAUAAAAUUCUUGUGAGAAAGCAAUCAAUGGCACGGCAAAAUUAUUUCAAGGACCCUUUAAAGGGGCCCUGAACCAUUCUUUUUCGAAGUAGAGAAAUGCAUUUGAAGUUAAAUAGGCUAUUUCAGAAAUACUUUGCCGCAAAAAGUCCUUCAAUGCGUUCAGCAGAGCGGAGUUAAUGGCAAUCAAACAUGCCCUUUGCGGUCCUUCACCAUCUUUACCAACGGAUAGUAGCCGUAUCCAACUUGCGCAUUUUGAAGCGAUAUCAGUAAGUCUGCCAAGGCGUCUAACCAGCAGUGGCCAGGAGUGAGCGCAUGCUGGCAAGCAUACGUGUGGUCUGACCUUAAGUUUCGCGAGGUUCGAGGCUAGUCGAGCGUUCAAAGCUACCAUAUUUUCCGGGCUGUAAGUCGCACCUUUGUAUAAGUUGUACCCCCCUCAAAACGGCCGUUUUUCCCGAACAAAAAAACGGAUAUAAGUCACACCGGUGCAUAAGACGCACCUGUUCGUUCGGUAAGCGAUUAAAAAACCCGUUGAGGAUCAGGUUGUGAGGAAGUGUGACGAAAAUAUGUGCUUGCAGCGAUCGCCGCCUCUGCACGUAUACUGCGGUAGGCAGUGCUGACACAUGUGUAAGCGCCUUUCAGUGUCUAGACAAUACUUUUCAUAAGUAUUUUAUUCUGAUAGCAUGAACAAUGCUAAUGAUGGCUUACAUGACAGCAUUUAGUCAAAGCCAUCGAAGUCAUCCUCCUCCAAGCCGCUGACAAACAAUGCAGCUACUUCAGGUUGGAGUUCCGUUGGCACAUCACUGUCUUCCGACUCGCUAGUAUCCAACUCGCCAACAUCACCAUCAGCCGCGAACGGGAUCAACCCAGCCUUGUGAAACCAUGCCGCAAUCGUUUUCUCAGAAAUUGAGUUCGAUGACUCACUAACCCAUUUGGCCACUUCUCCAUGCUCCGUGUGUCGCAUGCGCCCUGUUUUUGUGAAGCUAUGCUCCCCUCUGACAUCCAGGUCUCCCACAAACGUUGCAGAACCACUUUAAAACUGCGGUUCAGAGUAAUGUCGAGUGGCUGAAGCAUCUUCGUCAUGCCGCCAAGUAUGAUGACUGGGAUGCAGUUCUUUGAACCUAUCUUUUUUUUUUUCUUGAUGAUAUCGGUGAUAUGCGCCUGCAUACUGUCCAUCACCAGCAUUCCUGGCUUCACGUUAAAGAAUCCAUCUGAUCGAUGUGAAAAACAACGGUCAAGCCACACAUCCAUCAUUUCUUCAUCCAUCCAUCCCUUUGUGUUCGCCUGAACCACCACAGUGGGAGUAAAAAAGUCCUUUGGCAACGUUUUUCGUUUAAAAAUCAGCAUGGGAGGCAGCUUUGUGCCAUCCGCACAACAGGCGAGGAACAACGGUGAAGUGCGACUUUUCAUGGCCUGUUGUCCUCACCGUAACAGUUUUUUUGCCUUUCUCGGUGACGCUUCUCCCAAGCGAAAUAUCGAAAGUCAGCGGACUUCAUCCAUGUUGAUGAUGUGGCUCACACUGACAUUCUUCUCAAUUUCCUCCCUGAAGAAUGAGCAGAAGUUGUUAAGCUGUGCCUGAAAGUUGUCAGGCAGCUUCUGGCACAUUGAAAUCCGCGCUCUCAGACCAGCUUAUUCCGUCGCAUAAAGUGGAAACACCACGAUGGACCACCCUCGAAGCCAGCAGCAUUGGGCUCUGUUGCCAGGGUCUUCGCAUUCAGACACAGCUGCACUGUUGACAACCCUCUGCCUUCAGCUCAUUGUUGCAGUGCCCACGUUCGCAGACGAGUCUCGAGAUCCAGCCAACGUGCCUUCUUGCCGCAGUUUGAUUUCUUUGUUGACUUCAUUGUCCGGAGCACACUGGAGGCUUUGCACCAGUCCAUGAUCAUUUUCUCACUGACUUCGAAUUCCCUCCCUGCUGCUCGGUUUCCAUGCACCACUGCAAGUUCAACUGCACGCAGCUUGAAUCUUGCGUUGUAACUUCGGCGACUUUGCUUCGCAUGCGGCGUCGUGGUUAGUGAGGCUGCGACGACACACGUGAUGUGCGCAGCAACAGCGGCAACGAGUGCAAUGAAGUUGUUGAUGUUGAUGUGGCUUCACCCUUUAGAACGGGAGGUAGCUAGUGUGUGGUAACAAGAAUUAAAACAAUAAAAUAACAGUGUGAAUAAAGAAAAAAAAGCAAACAAAACUGCUGUGCAUGGCAGAAGGCGACUAGCGGUGGAGCGUCAUUUGAUGCCCACUCAAUAGAGAGGGACGUGGCUAUCGCAUCCUAUCCUGAUUUUGGCUGUAUAUAAGAUGCACCGACAAAUAAUUCAGAAAAAAAACGUGUCUUAUACACCGGAAAGUACAGUAGUCAAAAUUGGCAGGACCCAACGGCUACGACACCGAUAAGCAGGUUGACCAAUGUUUAAUUCCUAUGUGGGUGGCCACGGCUGAGCAUUAGUAGACGAUAUUUGGCUUCUUACGGAACUACGUAAUUAUCGAAAUUCAAAAACAGAUUUUCGCUAACUUCAGCCUGUUUAUUAAACUUUGGGGAAAAUGUGACUUCAUGCUCCGCUUGCGAGCUCCACGUGCCGCACCCGAUGGCAAAACUUGGCUGAGACGUUCACAGCAGUGUAUGCUAUCCGCGGAUUGUGUUUUUUCACCAACCCCAAGGGUUGGUUCAGGACUCCUUUAAGAAACACACUGCAGCAUAAGGCUGCAAAAAUGUUCAAUUUUUUAGUGAUUUUCUUGUGUUCAUGAACGUGGACUCCAUACCUCAAACUUAAGAAAAUAUUGCAGAUACAGGAAUAAAAUUGUUCAUUUGAAGUGAAGUCUACUCAGAAGGCACCUAGUCAUUUUGGAGUCUUGCCUUAACACAGUUGGCCCAUGUUAAUGAAUGGGUUGUUUGAUGGGGCCACAGAUAUUUGUCUGAAUUAUGCAGAGGUGAAUGAAUGCUGUGUAAAAAAUGUUCGCAAAGCAAUUUUGUGCAACCCUCUGUACAACCUUAAAGGUAAUGCAGCAUAGACGUAAAGCUAAUGGAUGCUUUGAAAAAGAGAACAGAGACCCUGUGCAUGCCUUGCUGGGAUAUCGGAGCCACAAAUGUGCAAGUGUGUUGGUUGGACCCUCUCUUGCUUGUGCCUGUAAAUGUUCGCAGUAGCUUGAAUGUCAAACAUACGUAGACACAUUUUCAUUACUCAUUAUGAUUGUUGUGUCUUCGGCAUUUUUAGAUGCAUUGUGCUGUCCUGGGAGGCCAAUAAGCUUGAAUUUACUAAUUACAGAAAAGCAUAGCUUGAAUUAAGCAUCUUCGAAGUACAUUAAAAUCAUAGCAGAUCAACAAAAGUUUUAAACUUGUUUGAAUUUACUGGAAUUUUUAUUUAUCAAGUUUGAAUUAUUGUAAGUCAACUGCAAACUGGUAGUGUCUAACACAACAAAAGAAAAGAACUUGUUGCAUUACCACCAGCUGGUGGUGCCAUUAAUCGCCUAGACAUUUUUCUUAAUAACAAAGAGGAAAUUAACACACAUGAUCCUAUGAAACUAAACAGGGCUGGUGCUCCAGUGUGCAAGAGCUGGGAAACGUCACAAACAGGUAGGUAGGAAUGAGGUUCUACUGUAUUUAGCUUAGGGCUCACUUGCACUUAUCAAAAUGAGACCUAGCCAGGCCCGCUUGAACUUUGGAUUCACCAAAGCCAGACCCUGACAGACUCACUCGGACUGAGACUCGCGAGAAUCGGACCGAGGCAAGCUCACUCAAACUCACGGACUCGCACUCGCUCAAGGUCACUCAGGUUCACUGAAUCACAGUUCCACUCGGAUUAUGGA